GAGAAGGAAAGCGCCCGGAGUUCCGAGGUUUCCACGGCGCAUCCGCCUCUAGGCUCGGCAGCCGGCAAUGCCCAUGGAAACCCCGAAUCUCCGGUUAGCUCCAUCAACGG
rnacentral:pre_miRNA from 1 species